rnacentral:rRNA from 1 species
GAUGAACGCUAGCGGCAGGCUUAAUACAUGCAAGUCGAGGGGUAACAGGGGUAGCAAUACCUGCUGACGACCGGCAAACGGGUGCGGAACACGUACGCAACCUUCCCAUAACUGGUGAAUAGCCUUCCGAAAGGGAGAUUAAUACACCGUAACAUAAUGAAGUGGCAUCACUUUGUUAUUAUAGGCUUCGGCCGGUUUUGGAUGGGCGUGCGCCUGAUUAGGUAGUUGGCGGGGUAACGGCCCACCAAGCCUGCGAUCAGUAACUGGUGUGAGAGCACGACCAGUCACACGGGCACUGAGACACGGGCCCGACUCCGUACGGAGGCAGCAGUAAGGAAUAUUGGUCAAUGGACGAAAGUCUGAACCAGCCAUGCCGCGUGAAGGAUAAGGCCCUCUGGGUUGUAAA